GUUGCUUAAGCUGCCGUGUCCGUUAAAGAUGACGUUACAGAGAAGGCGCGAUUCCUCGCUGAUAACUAUUUUGCGUCGUAGAACUGCGAUGAAAGUAAGCGUCACACAAACCGAGUUUCUCUUUCGUUACCUGGAUACGUCGUCUGCGAAUUCUAUCAAGUACGAGGAGCACUGUCUGGGGUACUCGUUCAAGCUGGCGCACCACUGUCGACGUGUGGGGCGCGGUAAGCCACACAGGUUUGGGACCACUAUAUCGAUUUCUAGAAAGAAUGACCUCUAAAACAUACAUGGACCUUUUAGAGCCAGUGCUCAUUCCGCACGUCCUUGAUGGCCCCUUCCCGGAUGGGCUCUACUGGUUUCAACCGGACAACGCCCGAAUUCACACAUCAAAGGAAGUGAAGCAGGUGCCGGACAACCUAGGUGUGACAAGGCUGAACUGGCCUGCGAGAAGUCCUGAUUUAAAUGUCAUAGAGAUUGUAUGGACAAUAAUAAAAUUAAGCAUAGCCAGAAAGGCAAGUGUAGCCAUAGCUAACGAUGACCAGCUUUGGUUAGCCAUUCAAGAGGAGUGGGACUGUCUCCGACAGGUGCCCUACCUCGUGAAUGAGCUCCAUGACUAGCUUCCCAUGAGGACCGCAAGAGCGAAACAGAAUAUUGAGGAACCCAUGUUCUAUGAGGCGAUAGGCGCUAUAGCCCGCUCCUGAUUUUCGCGUAAAUAAAGCAACUUUUUUUCUAUGCUUC